UACGUAGGGUGCGAGCGUUGUCCGGAAUUAUUGGGCGUAAAGAGCUCGUAGGCGGUUCGUCGCGUCGAAUGUGAAAACCCGGGGCUCAACUCCGGGCCUGCAUUCGAUACGGGGGACUAGAGUUCGGUAGGGGAGACUGGAAUUCCUGGUGUAGCGGUGAAAUGCGCAGAUAUCAGGAGGAACACCGGUGGCGAAGGCGGGUCUCUGGGCCGAUACUGACGCUGAGGAGCGAAAGCGUGGGGAGCGAACAGG
rnacentral:rRNA from 1 species